GACGAACGCUGGCGGCGUGCUUAACACAUGCAAGUCGAACGGAAAGGCCCUGCUUUUGUGGGGUGCUCGAGUGGCGAACGGGUGUGUAACACGUGAGUAACCUGCCCUUGACUUUGGGAUAACUUCAGGAAACUGGGGCUAAUACCGGAUAGGAGCUCCUGCUGCAUGGUGGGGGUUGGAAAGUUUCGGCGGUUGGGGAUGGACUCGCGGCUUAUCAGCUUGUUGGUGGGGUAGUGGCUUACCCAGGCUUUGACGGGUAGCCGGCCUGAGAGGGUGACCGGCCACAUUGGGACUGAGAUACGGACCAGACUCCUACGGGAGGCAGCAGGGGGGAAUAUUGCACAAUGGGCGGAAGCCUGAUGCAGCAACGCCGCGUGCGGGAUGACGGCCUUCGGGUUGGAAACCGCUUUCGCCUGUGACGAAGCGUGAGUGACGGUAAUGGGUAAAGAAGCACCGGCUAACUACGUG
rnacentral:rRNA from 1 species